rnacentral:rRNA from 1 species
GGUAUUGAAAUAAGAUUUUAAAUGAGUGCUAAGAGAAUGAUUAAACAAUUAAAAACUUUCUUUAAUUAAAUAAUUAAAUUUAAUUUUUUUGGUGCAAAAGCAAAAAUAAAAUUUAGGGACAAGAAGACCCUAUGAAUUUUUAUUAUUAAUAUUAUGUAAUUAAAUUAUUAAUAAUUUAAUUGGGGUGAUAAAAAAAGAAUAAGUAUCUUUUUAAUUAUAAAAUAAGUUCCGUUUUUAGCGAUUAAAUGAAAAAAAUACUCUAGGGAUAACAGCGUAAUAAUUUUGGAUAGUUCAUAUAGAUAAAAUAGUUUGCGACCUCGAUGUUGGAUUAGGAUUC